rnacentral:rRNA from 1 species
UUGGAAUGAUGGUGACUUAAACCCUCACCAGAGUACCAAUUGGAGGGCAAGUCUGGUGCCAGCAGCCGCGGUAAUUCCAGCUCCAAUAGCGUAUAUUAAACUUGUUGCAGUUAAAAAGCUCGUAGUUGAAUUUCAGCGUUUCGCGUGUGCCUCUUUUGGCCCAUCUCGUCUCGCUUUUUUUAUUACUUUGAGAAAAUUAGAGUGUUUCAAGCAGGCUUUUGUCUUGAAUACUUGAGCAUGGAAUAAUAGAGUAGGACCUUGGUUCUAUUUUGUUGGUUUUGUUACCUUGGUAAUGGUUAAUAGGAACGGUUGGGGGCAUUCGUAUUUAACUGUCAGAGGUGAAAUUCUUAGAUUUGUUAAAGACGAACUACUGCGAAAGCAUUUGCCAAGGACGUUUCCAUUAAUCAAGAACGAAAGUUAGGGGAUCGAAGACGAUCAGAUACCGUCGUAGUCCUAACCAU